rnacentral:rRNA from 1 species
GACGUAGGGCGCGAGCGUUGUCCGGAUUUAUUGGGCGUAAAGAGCUCGUAGGCGGCUUGUCGCGUCGACUGUGAAAACCCGCGGCUCAACUGCGGGCCUGCAGCCGAUACGGGCAGGCUAGAGUUCGGUAGGGGAGAGUGGAAUUCCUGGUGUAGCGGUGAAAUGCGCAGAUAUCAGGAAGAACACCUAUGGCGAAGGCAGCUCUCUGGGACGGUACUGACGCUGAGACGCGAAAGCGUGGGGAGCGAACAGG